rnacentral:rRNA from 1 species
UGGGGAAUUUUGCACAAUGGGGGAAACCCUGAUGCAGCGACGCCGCGUGAUUUAGAAGGCCUUCGGGUUGUAAAAAUCUUUUUUACGGGAUGAAAAUGACAGUACCGUAAGAAUAAGGUCCGGCUAAAUACGUGCCAGCAGCCGCGGUAAUACGUAUGGACCGAGCGUUGUCCGGAUUUAUUGGGCGUAAAGCGAGCGCAGGCGGUUAGAAAAGUCUGAAGUGAAAGGCAGUGGCUCAACCAUUGUAGGCUUUGGAAACUGUUUAACUUGAGUGCAGAAGGGGAGAGUGGAAUUCCAUGUGUAGCGGUGAAAUGCGUAGAUAUAUGGAGGAACACCGGUGGCGAAAGCGGCUCUCUGGUCUGUAACUGACGCUGAGGCUCGAAAGCGUGGGGAGCGAACAGG